AUUGAACGCUGGCGGCAUGCCUAACACAUGCAAGUCGAACGAGUGGCGGACGGGUGAGUGAUGUCUGGGAAACUGCCCGAUGGAGGGGGAUAACUACUGGAAACGGUAGCUAAUACCGCAUACCAUCGGAUGUGCCCAGAUGGGAUUAGCUAGUAGGUGGGGUAACGGCUAACCUAGGCGACGAUCCCUAGCUGGUCUGAGAGGGUGACCGGCCACACUGGAACUGAGACACGGUCCAGACUCCUACGGGAGGCAGCAGUGGGGAAGAUUGGACAAUGGGCGAAAGCCUGAUGCAGCAAUGCCGCGUGUAUGAAGAAGGCUUUCGGGUUGUAAAGCACUUUCAGCGGGGAGGCGUUACCCGCAGAAGAAGCAACGGCUAACUCCGUGCCAGCAGCCGCGGUAAUAC
rnacentral:rRNA from 1 species